GAGGGUGUAGCUCAGUGGGUAGGGCAUGUGUUUAGCAUGCUCAAAGUCCUGGGUUCAAUCCUCAGCACAUUCA
rnacentral:tRNA from 1 species